ensembl:lncRNA
GAGCGCGUGAACGUUCCCGAGACACAGGACGGCGCGCGCAGUCCGUGUUCUGUUUCUCCUCCCGCAGCAGAAAAGACGCAGUGCACGACACCAGAUAAACCGGACACCGGGACACAAGAGCUCAGGGAUAGACACUGAACUGCAAAAAUCAUGAUGUUGUCGCUGUGUCAAAGAAAUGGAAUAACAUUUAAACUUAAAAGGAAAUCUUAAAGAUUUUCACUUCUGGGUGGAGUUCUUUGGCAGGUAUCUUCCCCCCACCUGGAAUUCGCUGACAGGGCGACCAGCUUUAGAAAAUGAAAUCUCAUGAGGGAGAACUGGAGAGAGAGAUCUCUAAGGUUCAGGGCAUGGUGUGUGAGUUGCGGGCAGGGUUUUCUCGAGCGCUGCUGGAGCUGAAUCAGAUUCAGCAGGGAGACACUGAGCUGCAGAGCCAGCUGGAGGACACAAGACACGGCUGCAACAAGCGCUCCCUUCACCUGGAGAGUCUGGUGCUGUCCCUCAAGGAUGAGCUGGAGGAGGUACGUUGUCAGUUUCGUCAACUCUGUGAGGCACAAGAGAGAACGCCACCAGAGAAUCCAGGAAGAGAGAAUAAUGGAGUGGACGACAGUAGCGGACAGAGUAAUGGUGCUGCAGAGGCUCCUCCCCUUUCAUCUGUGGGUGGAGAUUUCCUCAUACACUGUUACCUGCAGGGAUUACAGGUGUGGCAGUGGGCCAGACAGAAUUCAGGUGCAGAUUCUCUAUCCUGUCAUGUAACACACAGCUGCCUACGGCGGGGCAGGAGGCGGGGUGUGGUGGAGAUGCUGUUGCAGUCUGAACGUGAUUAUGUGUCUAGUUUGAAUCAGCUCUACGAGAAAUACAAAUCUGCUGAGCAAAAUGUGGCGUUUGUAAAGCACAUUGAUCAGAUGCUACAGCGCCACCUGCUGUUCCGUAACACCCUAGAAGAACGACUGACCACCGAUGAGAGAAGCUGUGCUGCUGGGGAUGCUUUCCUCAACCUCAUUGGACAGAACAAUAAGUCUUUCUCUGAUGCAUAUCUUGGAUACGUGGCCAGUCUGGGAACUGUCCUGAGAACAGAGAUCAGUACAACUUCACCCCACAGCGACCCACAAAAUGCACAGGAGGAGAAAGAGAGCUUCAGACUGCUUUCAUUACUAUUUGCUCCUGUUUCCCGCAUCCACAAAUACCUGAACAUCAUACAGGCUCUGAUACGCAGUUCUGGCUCUGGACAUGCAGACUGGUGUUCACUGCAGGAGAGUGAGCGGGUGCUGUGGGACCUCUGCACAAGCUGUCACAUGACUUUAGCAAAGGCCGGGCCGUGCAAAGAGGGGGAGGGUCCUGAACAAGGUUUGAGAAGCAGGUGCUGUGCCGAGAGCCCCGACUGCGGCCCUUCCGCUUUUACCAAGUACUGUGCCAACAUUAAUGCGGAUACAGCCAGUGUCACAGCGGGCGCAGGCAUAGACAGCACUGUACACCAGAGGAAAUGCUGUCGUGUUGGCAUGUCACGGACGCUACCUCGGCCCAGUGGCAUUUUAAGAAAUGGCCAUGAGCAUAUAUGUGAUCUUACCCCUGGUGGCUGGACUGCAGAGUACAUGUGGAAUGGCAGCGCAGGGCAGAGCCACAAGGGUCCCAUCUGUGUACCCUUCGCUCGUCAUCCUAGAGAAGCCGGCCGCUUUCUGAAUCCUGUUCCACCUGUAGGUGUCGGGGGAAACCUCACUACUGCUGCCAAGAGUCAGAGCUCUUCGGCUGGUCUGGCCGUGCGUGUGUGUGGGUCUCCAGGCCUCGACGGACGCAUAUACACAUCUGACCUGUACCCUCCGUCACAUCGUCUUGAUGAUGGGGACACAGACUGUGACGUGGCUGAUGCAUCCAUUUUUGACUUCUCUUCUGUAACGACCUGUAGCCCAGAUGAAACUCUGAAUCGACUCAGGGGAGUGGAAGCACGUGAUGAUGAGGAUGAUGAUGAUGAAGAGGACAGUGAGGUUCCAGUUCUCCUCAAACCUUCAUACACUCACAAUUCUUCAGCUGUGCAGACAGGGGGAAGCUUAUGCAUGCAGUGGCAGAUUCCUAGACGGGCUCCUAUUCCUGCUGAGGUUUGCAUUGGGGCUCAAGGAAAAACGCUUGCCCCAAAACCACACAGAAUCCCUGUCAGUGCCUUCCGGCCAAUUUGGGACCCGACUUAUUCACAGGGUGAUGUGACUCCUGCAAAAGAGAACUCUGUGUCUUUCAGCUCAACAAAUCAGAUCAUUAAUCAGCAGCAAGAGACUGACCAAUCACGAUCUGCAUAUAGAGGGACUGGAGUCCAGCGGGCUGAAGCAGUGUGGCAUGACAGUGAGGACAGUGAAGGACCCUGCAGUACAGUCUGA